UCCAUGAUGAAAUAAUUUCAAUGAUGUAUUGUGAUUCAUUUAUUUUGUCCUCUAAGAAGAACUGAGAAG